UACGUAGGGUGCAAGCGUUGUCCGGAAUUAUUGGGCGUAAAGAGCUCGUAGGCGGUUUGUUACGUCCGCUGUGAAAACCCAGGGCUUAACCCUGGGCUUGCAGUGGAUACGGGUAGACUAGAGGCAGGUAGGGGAGAAUGGAAUUCCCGGUGUAGCGGUGAAAUGCGCAGAUAUCGGGAGGAACACCGGUGGCGAAGGCGGUUCUCUGGGACGGUACUGACGCUGAGACGCGAAAGCGUGGGGAGCGAACAGG
rnacentral:rRNA from 1 species